UUGUAUCUGUCCUCUGUGGGGUUGGUUGUGGUCUAGGUAUUAUCAUGUUGUAUCUGUCCUCUGUGGGGUUGGUUGUGGUCUAGGUAUUAUCAUGUUGUAUCUGUCCUCUGUGGGGUUGGCUGUGGUCUAGGUAUUAUCAUGUUGUAUCUGUCCUCUGUGGGGUUGGCUGUGGUCUAGGUAUUAUCAUGUUGUAUCUGUCCUCUGUGGGGUUGGCUGUGGUCUAGGUAUUAUCAUGUUGUAUCUGUCCUCUGUGGGGUUGGCUGUGGUCUAGGUAGUAUCAUGUUGUAUCUGUCCUCUGUGGGGUUGGCU